AGUGAACGCUGGCGGUAGGCCUAACACAUGCAAGUCGAACGGCAGCACGGUAAGAGCUUGCUCUUACGGGUGGCGAGUGGCGGAUGGGUGAGGAAUACAUCGGAAUCUACUUUUUCGUGGGGGAUAACGUAGGGAAACUUACGCUAAUACCGCAUACGAACUACGGGUGAAAGCAGGGGAUCUUCGGACCUUGCGCGAUCCAAUGAACCGAUGUCGGAUUAGCUAGUUGGUGGGGUAAAGGCCCACCAAGGCGACGAUCCGUAGCUGGUCUGAGAGGAUGAUCAGCCACACUGGAACUGAGACACGGUCCAGACUCCUACGGGAGGCAGCAGUGGGGAAUAUUGGACAAUGGGCGCAAGCCUGAUCCAGCCAUACCGCGUGGGUGAAGAAGGCCUUCGGGUUGUAAAGCCCUUUUGUUGGGAAAGAAAAGCAGCAGGUUAAUACCCCGCUGUUCUGACGGUACCCAAAGAAUAAGCACCGGCUAACUUCGUG
rnacentral:rRNA from 1 species